rnacentral:rRNA from 1 species
GACGAACGCUGGCGGCGUGCUUAACACAUGCAAGUCGGACGAUGAAGCUAGAGCUUGCUCUGGUGGAUUAGUGGCGAACGGGUGAGUAACACGUGAGUAACCUGCCCCGAACUCUGGGAUAACUGCUGGAAACGGUAGCUAAUACCGGAUAUGACCAAUGAAGGCAUCUUCUGUUGGUGGAAAGAAUUUCGGUUCGGGAUGGACUCGCGGCCUAUCAGCUUGUUGGUGAGGUAACGGCUCACCAAGGCGACGACGGGUAGCCGGCCUGAGAGGGUGACCGGCCACACUGGGACUGAGACACGGCCCAGACUCCUACGGGAGGCAACAGUGGGGAAUAUUGCACAAUGGGCGCAAGCCUGAUGCAGCAACGCCGCGUGAGGGAUGACGGCCUUCGGGUUGUAAACCUCUUUUAGCAGGGAAGAAGCGAAAGUGACGGUACCUGCGGAAAAAGCACCGGCUAACUACGUGCCAGCCGCCGCCGUAA